GCAGAGCAUUGGAGGCCAUCUGUGGAGCAACACAACGUUAAGAAGAUCAAACAACUGGAGCGUUUUUUUUUGUUUGUUUUUUUUUUUUUACAGAGGAGGACUCGACCUCAGCUGAGGCAAAGGUUUUGAUCUCGCUCUAUUUCUGGUUUCAUGCAUGGUCGGCCUGUCUGGGCAGAAUGUUUCCACUGAUGUGGUCUAGAGUGCAGAGCUGCAGCAGUGAUCAGACUCUCUCUCACGGAGGCAUGAGUGGGCUGCUGACGUCUUUGGGGUUAUCCUGGCCCCGGCUGUGGCACGGCUGUCAUGCCUCACUCAGAGGCCAGACUGCAGCUGCCAUAAAGUGGAGUAAAAGCUGUGGUUUACCUUGAUGUCAUCUUCCGGGACAAUGAAGUCUCUCAGGCACUCGAGGGGCCCCAUCAG